rfam:Anopheles dirus strain WRAIR2 unplaced genomic scaffold supercont1.165, whole genome shotgun sequence.
UGUAGAAAUACAUCACUGGACGGGUACGGAUCCGACGCCUCUCGUAGGUUGCACAGGCUCUCCGUACUCUACUCUUACUCAAAACGUCCCCGACGUACAGAACGGUAACAUGUCCCUCCGCUUAUCUGAGCUUGGGUAUACGGGGAAACCCAACCCCUUGGGAGGAUGGAAGACAUGGCUAAUUUGAGAAGG